rnacentral:piRNA from 1 species
UAUUAUUAUUUUGCAUAUUUUCUGGUGUUU